rnacentral:snRNA from 1 species
GUGAUCACUUCGGCCGCACGUAUACCAAAAUUGGAAUGAUACAGAGAACAGCAUGGCCCCUGUACUAGGAUGACAAUUUUUUUUUUUUUUUGAGAUAGAGUCUU